ACAACGGCUCUUUUAGGAGCCACCACAUGACCCAAGAGUCAUGACU
rfam:Nematostella vectensis strain CH2 x CH6 NEMVEscaffold_7542_Cont53353, whole genome shotgun sequence.